UGGGGAAUAUUGCGCAAUGGGCGGAAGCCUGACGCAGCGAUGCCGCGUGGGGGAUGACGGCCUUCGGGUUGUAAACCUCUUUCAGCAGGGACGAAGCGAAAGUGACGGUACCUGCAGAAGAAGCACCGGCCAACUACGUGCCAGCAGCCGCGGUAAUACGUAGGGUGCAAGCGUUGUCCGGAAUUAUUGGGCGUAAAGAGCUCGUAGGCGGUUUGUUGCGUCGGCUGUGAAAUCCCGAGGCUCAACCUCGGGUCUGCAGUCGAUACGAGCAAACUAGAGUGUUGCAGGGGAGACUGGAAUUCCUGGUGUAGCGGUGAAAUGCGCAGAUAUCAGGAGGAACACCGGUGGCGAAGGCGGGUCUC
rnacentral:rRNA from 1 species